rnacentral:rRNA from 1 species
GAUGAACGCUGGCGGCGUGCUUAACACAUGCAAGUCGAACGAUGAAGCCCAGCUUGCUGGGUGGAUUAGUGGCGAACGGGUGAGUAACACGUGAGCAACCUGCCCCUGACUCUGGGAUAAGCGCUGGAAACGGCGUCUAAUACUGGAUAUGUCCCGUCACCGCAUGGUGUGCGGGUGGAAAGAUUUUUCGGUUGGGGAUGGGCUCGCGGCCUAUCAGCUUGUUGGUGAGGUAAUGGCUCACCAAGGCGUCGACGGGUAGCCGGCCUGAGAGGGUGACCGGCCACACUGGGACUGAGACACGGCCCAGACUCCUACGGGAGGCAGCAGUGGGGAAUAUUGCACAAUGGGCGGAAGCCUGAUGCAGCAACGCCGCGUGAGGGAUGACGGCCUUCGGGUUGUAAACCUCCUUUAGCAGGGAAGAAGCGAAAGUGACGGUACCUGCAGAAAAAGCACCGGCUAACUACGUG